AAAAAAAAAAACGUGAGUAACCUGCCCUUGACUUUGGGAUAACUUCAGGAAACUGGGGCUAAUACCGGAUAGGAGCUCCUGCUGCAUGGUGGGGGUUGGAAAGUUUCGGCGGUGGGGGAUGUACUCGCGGCUUAUCAGCUUGUUGGUGGGGUAGUGGCUUACCAAGGCUUUGACGGGUAGCCGGCCUGAGAGGGUGACCGGCCAAAUUGGGACUGAGAUAAGGACCAGACUCCUACGGGAGGCAGCAGUGGGGAAUAUUGCACAAUGGGCGGAAGCCUGAUGCAGCAAAGCCGCUUGUUUGAAAACAGCCGUCGACCACCAAAAUCUACACACAGG
rnacentral:rRNA from 1 species